UAGUCCACGCCCUAAACGAUGCUUACUCGAUGUUUGUGUUUACAUGAGCAUCCAAGGGAAACCGUUAAGUAAGCCACCUGGGAAGUACGUUCGCAAGAAUGAAGCUCAAAGGAAUUGACGGGGGCCCGCACAAGCGGUGGAGCAUGUGGUUUAAUUCGAUGCAACGCGAAGAACCUUACCAGGUCUUGACAUCCUGAAAACUUUCUAGAGAUAGAUUGGUGCCUUCGGGAAUUCAGUCGACAGGUGCUGCAUGGCUGUCGUCAGCUCGUGUCGUGAGAUGUUGGGUUAAGUCCCGUAACGAGCGCAACCCUUGUCCUUAGUUACCAGCGCGUUAUGGCGGGGACUCUAGGGAGACUGCCGGUGACAAACCGGAGGAAGGCGGGGAUGACGUCAAGUCAGCAUGCCCCUUACACCCUGGGCUACACACGUGCUACAAUGGGCGAGACAAUGAGCUGCAAGUCUGUGAAGGUUAGCUAAUCUAUAAACUCGUUCUAAGUUCGGA
rnacentral:rRNA from 1 species